AACUGAUACUACCUGCGGGAACCUGCGGAAGGAUCAUUAGUGAACGCCCUCACGGGCUUAUAACUAUUCCAAACCUCUGUGAACCGUGCCCUUCGGGGCUAUUUUACAAACAUGGUGUAAUGAACGUCAUAUAUCAUAACAAAACAAAACUUUCAGCAACGGAUCUCUAGAA
rnacentral:misc_RNA from 1 species